GGUUUGUUUUAACAUUUUAACAUGAUGGGAAGCUCAAAACAGUCGAUUUUACAUAAAACUGCCUCUUUAAAUGGGCAAACAGGGCAGCUCUGAACCGGUUCCAGAGGCUGACAUGCUUUCAGACCGGAGGCGGUGGAGGAGGAGGCGUUCCCAGUCACAGACUGGGACCCUCCAGCCGCCCUGGUGUUAAUUUUCUGCUCUGCUUGUUUGUAAUAUCUGCAGCUGAAUGUACUCUGAUCAUUAAAGUCAAUGAUUCAGAGAACACCGAAGGCUUCCCCUGUUGGAGUUUGAUCUGCCAGCAGCUGAAGAACUGCAGGAUCAUCUAGAAGCAGGCAUUAGUUGAUCAAUCUAAUUAUAAAGGCUUCAUUAAAAUCAUCAUUAUUUCUGCUUUUUGGCUCAUGACAGGUUCUCCUUAUUAACUCAUAAGUUACAUCAUAAAACAAACUUAAAAAAAUAACUUUUUGUAGAUGUUCUACACUGAUGCGGAUAGAUGGACGGACAAAUUACUUUAGUUUAAUAAAUCAAACAAUCAGCAGCCAUAUGGAGCUCCACUGCAAUGGAGGUUAAAGGUCAAAAUCUGAAUUUAUGAUUCUUUAGCUUUAUUGGGAGGGAUGGGAUUCAUUGAUCUAUUUUUAACUGAGCUCUAAACUGUAAACAUGAGGGAAAUAAUCCCCAAACCAGUGAAAUGUUUGAAACCAGUAAGUUCUGUCUAAAACCAGUGAAAUGUUUGAAACCAGUAAGUUCUGUCUAAAACCAGUGAAAUGUUUGAAACCAGUAAGUUCUGUCUAAAACCAGUGAAAUGUUUGAAACCAGUAAGUUCUGUCUAAAACCAGUGAGGGUCUCUUGUGUUUCUGCUGCUCUUGUUUCCUGCAGGAUUCCUAGCAGCCAGUUGGAGUGAAGCUCGGCUCGACAUGAAUCUGUUUUUUUUACUCUGACUUCUCAAAGCAGCUCAAACAGCUGAAGAAGAAAAAAUAAAAAACUGGGAGGAACGGAGAUGAGACGGAUUUUGGGAUGAGUUUGGGGACUUGGGGAGAGAUUGUGGCUUCAGUUGGAGGCAGGAGAGGGAGGAGGUUCAAACUUCUAGCUCUGCGUUCGGCGCUGAAGGAGCAGGAGCGGCUUUGUGUUUCCUCCCAGGUUAAAACAAUGAAGAUUUAAAAUAUUCGCAUUAAUUGGAGCCGAUCCGCACGACUCCUGCCGCCGAUCACCAGCGGGUUCUUCUGAGGACGGAUCAGAGAAAGGAAAACGUUGUUUUAUCUUUGUGAUGAAGAUCGGGCUCUCUCAGGCUGUCUCAGGAAACAAACGUGAACCGAUGACACCGAGCCGUUUGGACGCAGCUCUGAAGAAUAACCGGGUCAUCGCUGCUCCCCUUAGAGACGCUUCGGCCCCAAACGUGUUGCUGCAGUCGCUCCUCCAUCAAUCUCCUCAGAAUCUGGGCCGAGAAUUCACUCGACCCGUCGUCUCCAUGAACGUUUCAACACGGCUGCAUCAGUCAUGGAGGAGCUGCACCUGCAGCUGCACCGUCAGUUUCAGGCCGGAUGUCAGGAGGAAACGGAGGCAUUUACACCUCCUCACCACCAGAGGCAGCAGAUUAACAGACAGACACAUCACCCUGCACAGUACGCCCAACACGCCUCACCGCUGUGACAUCACAUCCUGCGUCCACAUAAACUCUGUUCUGG